GAUGAACGCUGGCGGCGUGCUUAACACAUGCAAGUCGAACGAAGCACUUUAUUUGAUUUCCUUCGGGACUGAUUAUUUUGUGACUGAGUGGCGGACGGGUGAGUAACGCGUGGGUAACCUGCCUUGUACAGGGGGAUAACAGUUGGAAACGGCUGCUAAUACCGCAUAAGCGCACAGCAUCGCAUGAUGCAGUGUGAAAAACUCCGGUGGUAUAAGAUGGACCCGCGUUGGAUUAGCUAGUUGGUGAGGUAACGGCCCACCAAGGCGACGAUCCAUAGCCGAACUGAGAGGGUGACCGGCCACAUUGGGACUGAGACACGGCCCAAACUCCUACGGGAGGCAGCAGUGGGGAAUAUUGCACAAUGGGCGAAAGCCUGAUGCAGCGACGCCGCGUGAGCGAAGAAGUAUUUCGGUAUGUAAAGCUCUAUCAGCAGGGAAGAUAAUGACGGUACCUGACUAAGAAGAACCGGCUAAAUACGUG
rnacentral:rRNA from 1 species